UUUGCAUAUUCAUGGCGGCGUGCGCGGGGCGGGGGGGCGGGGGGGGAGCGGGGUGACGGCGGGCGCGCGCGCGCCGCACCUGUCACACACGCACAGCGCGCCCGCCCCGCCCCGCUGCGGGGUCCCCCGCCCCGCGCUCCAGGGGCCGCUCCGCCCGGCCCCUCACGGCCGGUCGCGGUCCCGGUGCCGCCGUGUGAUCCCGGUACCUCCCGGUACUUCCCGGUGCCCGCGGCUGAGUCACCGCGCCGCCGCCUCAGCUCGGCCCGCGCAGCCUUUGAUGGCUGGGGAAGUAUGCAGGAGCUGUGUGCUGGUCCCGGGGAGCCGAGCGAAGCCUCUGGGCAGCUCACCCGGUGAUAUAAUCGCCCUCGUUCCUGUCUCCAGAGGUUUCAGUUAAGCACUAAAUCCCCGGCCCCCCACAGGCAAUGCUGUCCCAGGUCAGGUAACAGCCAUCUCCCACAGGCAGUGCCUGGUCUGGCCAUCGCACGCUGGCGGGGCACCGCAGUGUGCCUGGAUCGAGGCAGGAUGGCAACAAAUUAAUUGUGGCAAAGAUGAAAAUACAUAAACCCUGUAAUCUUAUCUACCACUCAGAAAAAAAGUUUUUUUAAAAGUAUUAUCUGAAAGGAGGUAUCAGAGACUCAAUUGGCCUGGGAAGUCUCUGUGAGAUCAUCGAGUCCAACCAAUGGCCCAAGACCCCCACGUCAACCAGACCACAGCACAGAGUGCCACAUUCAUUUUUCCUGUAAAACUUCCAGGAAUGGUGACUCCACCACUUCCCUGGGCAGCCCAUUCCAAUGUCUAAUCACCCUUUCUGUGAAGAAAUUCCUCCUAAUGUCCAACGUAAACUUCCCCAUCCAGCUCAAGGCCAUGUCCCUUUGUCCUGCCACUUAUUGCUGGGGAGAAGAGCCCAACUUGCACCUGGCAAAACCUCCUUUCAGGACUAAAUCCAAAACACACAGAAGAAGCGCUGCCAGCAUGUAUCUUACUUUAAAGUAAUAAAGAAAUGGAUAAUA